ACGAGGGGAAGGAGCAGUUUAAAACCGGCAAUCGGGAGUUUAGGCAUCAACAGGCGGAAAAUGAAAUCACCCGGCUUGGAACGUGGCCAAGGAACGGGGAUUAAAGCCAGCAGGCCCACACAGAGCUCCCAGAGCUGCAGGCUCGCCUGUGACUGCAGACAGGAGCACACGGAAAGCCGGGAUUCACUUUCCCUGCAGUGGUCAGGAGGAGCCAGGAGGGGUUGUCUGCUCUGUCUUAUAACAGAAAACCGCUGGAAUUUUCCUCCCGUGCCCCACACUGUGUCGUGUUUUCCUGGAAUUGGAAUGACUCGGAUGGACCUUUUCUCUGCACCUUCUGCACUGAGGAAAUAGCUGGUUUUUCCAUCCCUGUGGGGCUGCACUGGAGUCUGAGGGGAUUCAGCAGCACGAUGGGCACCUCUGUGCAUUCCAGGUUUGCCUCUCCAGGGCCAGGGCAUGAACAGGAAUGAUGGGAAAGCUCCUGCUGCUCCUGCUCUGUUCCAGGGG